UAAAGGGUUUUUCGGCGUUGAGGCUUGAUAUCCCAGGCGCAUGGCAAAUGCCUCAGGGCGGUGUAGAUGAAGGGGAGGAUCCAAGAGGUGCUGCAAUUAGAGAAUUGAGAGAAGAGACUGGAGUCACAUCCGCCGAGAUUCUUGAUGAGGUUUGUUUGCUUGUAAAUUAAUCACAGAUCGAUAGAAAAUGUAAACUAUUAUUAUCAUUGUUGUUGUUGUUGGAUUCAUGUAGUAUCCUGUACUCAGUCAUGUUUUCGGGGAAAUGUGACAAUGUGAUUUGCUGCCAAUUUUCUAAAGAUAAUAGAAAGGAACAGUGUGCCCAUGGGAUCAAGAAUACUUAUUUCUUUUCUUUAGAUAUAUAAUUGUAAGUAUCUCAUAAUGCUUAUCUCAGGCCGCAUGGUCAAGUUCCGUUAAAAGAGAUGAAAACAGACUGGCAUGCUUGUCUUGACAACAAAAUGGGAUUCAAGAAUCUUGGUCCAACUGAACCUCCUUUACUUGUGACUCUCAAUCCUCCCUGUACUCCUAAGCAUACUGAACUUAAAUGGAGGACAAGUCAUCCUGUUCCUUCAGUGGCAGCAUCAAAAGCUUCACUUGAGCUUGAAAAAAAUUCAGGGCAAAAGAUGAG